rnacentral:rRNA from 1 species
GCCAAACAGCUAGCUUAACCCCUAGAUAAUCAAGACAACAUUAAAAUAUUCCACAUAAACCAAACCAAACUAAACCAAAACAUUUUUCCGCCCAAGUAUGUGAGACAAAAAAGGCACACCACUUUAUAAAGCUUUAGUAAAAGUACCGCAAGGGAACGCUGAAAGAGAAAUGAAACAAAUCAUUUAAGCACAACAAAGCAGAGACUAAACCUCGUACCUUUUGCAUCAUGAUUUAGCCAACCCCUCUGAGCAAAGAGAACUUUAGUUCAAGCCCCCGAAACUAAGUGAGCUACCCCGGGACAGCCAAUUAAUUAGGGCCAACCCGUCUCUGUGGCAAAAGAGUGGGAAGAUCCCCGGGUAGAGGUGACAGACCUACCGAACUUAGUUAUAGCUGGUUGCCUAGGAAAUGAAUAGAAGUUCAGCCUCGUGCUCCUCAACUCACCCCAACAAUAUACAACACGAGCAAGAGAAAUCCACGAGAGUUAGUCGUAGGGGGUACAGCCCCUACGAAACAGGAUACAACCUACACAGGAGGUUACAGAUUACACUACCAAAGACACUGCCGCUCUAGUGGGCCUAAAAGCAGCCACCUAAACAGAAAGCGUUAAAGCUCUGGCGACCUAUAAGUCUAUUAUACAAAUAUAACAUCUAAAACCCCUAACCAUACUAGGCUAUUCCAUGCCAACAUGGAAGAAACCCUGCUAAAAUGAGUAAUAAGAAGUCAACGUACUUCUCCAGGCCCAUGUGUACACCAGAUUGGACCUCCCACUGGUAAUUAUCGAGCCCAACAAAAGAGGGCACUAUGAACGCACUAAACAACAAGAAAUCAUCAUAUAAUUUAAUCGUUAACCCCACACUGGUGGGCCCAUACUAAAGGAAAGACUAAAAGAAGAGGAAGGAACUCGGCAAACAUAAGCCUCGCCUGUUUACCAAAAACAUCGCCUCCUGCAAAAAUCAAAGUAUAGGAGGUCUUGCCUGCCCAGUGACAAGUUAAACGGCCGCGGUAUUUUGACCGUGCAAAGGUAGCGCAAUCACUUGUCUUUUAAAUGAAGACCUGUAUGAAUGGUAGAACGAGGGCUUGACUGUCUCCCCCCUCAAGUCAAUGAAAUUGAUCUGUCCGUGCAGAGGCGGACAUACAUAUACAAGACGAGAAGACCCUUUGGAGCUUAAGAUACAAGACCAACUAUGUCAAUACACCAAAAAUUAAAUUAAACUAAAUAGCACAUGGUCCCUAUCUUCGGUUGGGGCGACCACGGAAGAAAAUAAAGCUUCCACGCGGACUGGGGCUUCCAAGCCCUGAAACCAAGAAAGACACUUCUAAGCAACAGAACAUCUGACCUACAAGAUCCGGCAAAUCCGCCGAUCAACGGACCAAGUUACCCUAGGGAUAACAGCGCAAUCCCCUUUAAGAGUCCAUAUCGACAAGGGGGUUUACGACCUCGAUGUUGGAUCAGGACAUCCUAAUGGUGCAGCCGCUAUUAAGGGUUCGUUUGUUCAACGAUUAAAGUCCUACGUGAUCUGAGUUCAGACCGGAGCAAUCCAGGUCAGUUUCUAUCUGUAAUGAAACUUCUUCCCAGUACGAAAGGACCGGAAUAAGGAGGCCUAUGUCAACGACACGCCUCACCCCUACUUAAUGAAAACAACUAAAUUAAAUAAAGGGAGACCAUUACCCAACAAUCUAGAUAAGAUUAUUAAGA